UACGUAGGGUGCAAGCGUUGUCCGGAAUUAUUGGGCGUAAAGAGCUCGUAGGCGGUUAGUCGCGUCUGCUGUGAAAACUCGGGGCUUAACUCCGGGCCUGCAGUGGGUACGGGCUGACUAGAGUGCAGAAGGGGCAACUGGAAUUCUCGGUGUAGCGGUGAAAUGCGUAGAUAUCGAGAGGAACACCUGCGGCGAAGGCGGGUUGCUGGGCUGACACUGACACUGGAGAGACGAAAGCUAGGGGAGCAAAUGGG
rnacentral:rRNA from 1 species